GGGCCGGUAGCUCAGCCAGGUAGAGCGGCGGUGGAGACCCGUAGGUCGUGGGUUCGAAUCCCACCCGGCCCG
rnacentral:tRNA from 1 species